GGCUGAGCUGCGGUGGCUCAGUUUGUAGAGCGUUGGAGUCGUAAUCCAAAGUCGCGGGUUCUUUACCUGCCUAAGCCA